UUCAGCAUGAUGACUGUUUGCAUGGC
rnacentral:piRNA from 1 species